GAUGAACGCUGGCGGCGUGCCUAAUACAUGCAAGUCGAGCGAACAGACGAGGAGCUUGCUCCUCUGACGUUAGCGGCGGACGGGUGAGUAACACGUGGAUAACCUACCUAUAAGACUGGGAUAACUUCGGGAAACCGGAGCUAAUACCGGAUAAUAUAUUGAACCGCAUGGUUCAAUAGUGAAAGACGGUUUUGCUGUCACUUAUAGAUGUAUCCGCGCCGCAUUAGCUAGUUGGUAAGGUAACGGCUUACCAAGGCAACGAUGCGUAGCCGACCUGAGAGGGUGAUCGGCCACACUGGAACUGAGACACGGUCCAGACUCCUACGGGAGGCAGCAGUAGGGAAUCUUCCGCAAUGGGCGAAAGCUUGACGGAGCAACGCCGAGUGAGUGAUGAAGGUCUUCGGAUCGUAAAACUCUGUUAUUCGGGAAGAACAAAUGUGUAAGUAACUAUGCACGUCUUGACGGUACCUAAUGAAAAAACCACGGCUAACUACGUG
rnacentral:rRNA from 1 species